ACGCUCGACACCUACUGGAGGCAGCAGUGGGGAAUAUUGCACAAUGGAGGAAACUCUGAUGCAGCGAUGCCGCGUGAGGGAAGAAGGUUUUCGGAUUGUAAACCUCUGUCUUUGGGGACGAUAAUGACGGUACCCAAGGAGGAAGCUCCGGCUAACUACGUGUCAGCAGCCGCGGUAAUCUGAGGCGGCUGGACGAAGGC
rnacentral:rRNA from 1 species